rnacentral:rRNA from 1 species
GACGAACGCUGGCGGCGUGCUUAACACAUGCAAGUCGAACGGAAAGGCCCUGCUUUUGUGGGGUGCUCGAGUGGCGAACGGGUGAGUAACACGUGAGUAACCUGCCCUUGACUUUGGGAUAACUUCAGGAAACUGGGGCUAAUACCGGAUAGGAGCUCCUGCUGCAUGGUGGGGGUUGGAAAGUUUCGGCGGUUGGGGAUGGACUCGCGGCUUAUCAGCUUGUUGGUGGGGUAGUGGCUUACCAAGGCUUUGACGGGUAGCCGGCCUGAGAGGGUGACCGGCCACAUGGGGACUGAGAUACGGCCCAGACUCGUACGGGAGGCAGCAGUGGGGAAUAUUGCACAAUGGGCGGAAGCCUGAUGCAGCAACGCCGCGUGCGGGAUGACGGCCUUCGGGUUAUAAACCGCUUUCGCCUGUGACGAAGCGUGAGUGACGGUAAUGGGUAAAGAAGCACCGGCUAACUACGUG